rnacentral:tRNA from 1 species
GAGGGUAGAGCUCAGUGGUAGAGAGAGUGCCUAGCAAGCAUGAGUUCCUGGGUUCAGUCCCCAGUACCUCCA